rnacentral:misc_RNA from 1 species
UGGAAUUGCUGAGAGCAUGUCUUUUUUUAUUUUAUUGUCUAAGAAGGUUUUGGUUUACUUCUGUCAUUGUGUUGAUAUCGUGGGAGGUUCUUGAAGUCUUAAACGUUAUUAAAAAUGUCAGUUUAAAAAGCAAAUAUUUUCUCAAGAAAUAUACAGGGAAUAGAUAUGUGGGCUGGAAAAUCAACUGUCAGAUUGUAUGAAGAGUGCAUAGAAGGAGGACUGUGUCCAACACAUUUGAGAGAAUUUGAGUCAGAGGAGUUACAGGGUUUGGACAAACAAGCAUGAACUACAAAGGAAAGCCCUGCUGUUUGCACGAUUGAGUGUAUUAAAGCCCAUUGUUUUUGGUAAAGCUCAAGCUCCUGAUAGUAUAAAGUAUUUGAUGUCAAAGCCUGAAUAUAGAUCUAAUUUUAAUGAAAGCAAAGAUGAAUACACGAAUGUAGUAAGAUGCUUUGAUUCUGUGGUUGUUUUUACAAUGUGUACUUUCUCUAGGAUUUGCUGUGCAGGAGCAUUAUUCCAUGCAGAAUCUAAGCCUGUGUGCAAUGAUCCAGUUCUCCAGAGCUUAUUGAACCUUUUACGCUGUAGUGAGAAAUUAACCGAAAAAAACAUGUUGUAUUUUCACUCCAUUUUGCGGAAGAAUUUUGAAGAUGUUGAUGAAGAGAAUGUAAAGUUUUAUUUUAUUGUUAUAUUAUUAAUUGUGAGAAAACUUAGUAUAAAGAUGAGCUUAAAGACUGCUGUGAAAGAACUUGUGAAGCAAUUACAAAGUGCUCCUGAAAGCGAAUUACUCUUGAAUGAAGGAACUGAGGCAUACAAAGAAGAACGCUAUGAAGAAGCAGUCACGGCCUUCACACUUGCUCUAACUUACAGCCCAUACUGCAAAAAAGUGCGCACUAGUCGAGCCCAAGCCUACAUUCAGCUGAAAAAAUAUAAGAAAGCUGAAUUAGACAGUUACCUUGCUCUUGUCAUUGAUCCAAAUUAUUGCAAAGCAUAUUCUAAGCUGUGCUCUUCCCUUUAUCACCAAAAUUUCUUCCAACAAGUAUGCCAACUUGCAGAGUACGGACUAGAAAAAUGCAACAAUAGAUCUUGUGACCAAUUUGAAGUUCUUCAGACGCUAAAAACAGAUGCAGAAGAUUUAGAUUUUCAGAUGAGAAAUCUGGAAGAUAAUGAACACAUUGAAUUAACUGCUCAAGAAAAUCAUUGUGGGAAGAUAAAGGAGCUCCCUCUGGAUUCUGUUGAAGAUGUUCCAGAUUUAAUAGAAGCUUCUGAGUCUGAAGAUGAAAGUGAAAGUGAGAAUGAAGAUGAUUUUACUGAUGAAAAAAGCUUGAAUUCAUAUAGAAAGCAAGAAAGUGCUGAAAAUCAAGCUCUUUUAGAAGGUUAUCAAAAUAGAACAUUAGGAUCUGCUGAAAAAGAUAUGAAGGAAUGUACUGAAGAUGGAAAAUUAAAAGAAGCAGAAGUUGAAAUUCAACAUCCAGUUCAAAUUACCUGUAAUGGGCACUUGAGUUUAGAUCCUGAAAAUCACGAAGAGAUAAAUGUUACUUCUGUUGAGUAUUUAAGUCCUGAGAAACAAGAAAAAGUUACUUCUGAUGAGGAUUUAAGUUCUGAAAAACAAGAAAAAAUUACUUCUGAUGAGGAUUUAAGAUCUGAAAAACAAGAAAAAGUUACUUCUGAUGAAGAUUUAAGUUUUGAAAAACAAGAAAAAGUUACUUCUGGUGAGGAUUUAAGUCCUGAAAAACUAGAAAAAGUUACUUCUGAUGAGAAUUUAAAUCCUGAAAAACAAGAAAAAGUUACUUUUGAUGAACAUUUAAGACCUGAAAAACAAGAAAAAGUUACUUCUGAUGAGCAUUUAAGUCCUGAAAAUCAAGAAAAAAACGCUACUGAGUGUCCAGUUCAGAUUACCUCUAAUGAGAAUUUAAAUUUAGAUCCUGAAAAACAAAAAAAAGGAUAAAACUCAAGAUGAAAUUCAGAUUACUUCUGAGAAUUUAAAUUCAACUCCUGAAAAACCAAAAAUUGAACUGAACUCAACUGAGCAAGCAGUUCAUAUUACUUCAAA